rnacentral:rRNA from 1 species
AGGACGAACGCUGGCGGCGUGCUUAACACAUGCAAGUCGAGCGGAAAGGCCCUUCGGGGUACUCGAGCGGCGAACGGGUGAGUAACACGUGAGCAAUCUGCCUUUAGCUCUGGGAUAGCUCCGGGAAACCGGGAUUAAUACCGGAUAAGACCACUUUAGACAUCUGUUGUGGUGGAAAGAAUUUCGGCUAGAGAUGAGCUCGCGGCCUAUCAGCUUGUUGGUGGGGUAACGGCCCACCAAGGCGACGACGGGUAGCCGGCCUGAGAGGGCGACCGGCCACACUGGGACUGAGACACGGCCCAGACUCCUACGGGAGGCAGCAGUGGGGAAUAUUGCGCAAUGGGCGAAAGCCUGACGCAGCGACGCCGCGUGGGGGAUGAAGGCCUUCGGGUUGUAAACCCCUUUCAGCAGGGACGAAGCGAAGUGACGGUACCUGCAGAAGAAGCGCCGGCUAACUACGUGCCAGCAGCCGC